UACGUAGGGCGCAAGCGUUGUCCGGAAUUAUUGGGCGUAAAGAGCUCGUAGGCGGUUUGUCGCGUCUGCUGUGAAAACCUAAGGCUCAACCUUGGGCUUGCAGUGGGUACGGGCAGACUAGAGUGCGGUAGGGGUGACUGGAAUUCCUGGUGUAGCGGUGGAAUGCGCAGAUAUCAGGAGGAACACCGAUGGCGAAGGCAGGUCACUGGGCCGCAACUGACGCUGAGGUUCGAAAGCUCGGGGAGCAAACAGG
rnacentral:rRNA from 1 species